rnacentral:rRNA from 1 species
CCUACGGGAGGCAGCAGUGGGGAAUUUUGGACAAUGGGCGCAAGCCUGAUCCAGCAAUGCCGCGUGAGUGAAGAAGGCCUUCGGGUUGUAAAGCUCUUUUGUCAGGGAAGAAACGGUGGAGGUUAAUACCUUCUGCUAAUGACGGUACCUGAAGAAUAAGCACCGGCUAACUACGUGCCAGCAGCCGCGGUAAUACGUAGGGUGCAAGCGUUAAUCGGAAUUACUGGGCGUAAAGCGUGCGCAGGCGGUUGUGCAAGACAGAUGUGAAAUCCCCGGGCUCAACCUGGGAAUUGCAUUUGUGACUGUACGGCUAGAGUGUGUCAGAGGGGGGUAGAAUUCCACGUGUAGCAGUGAAAUGCGUAGAGAUGUGGAGGAAUACCGAUGGCGAAGGCAGCCCCCUGGGAUAACACUGACGCUCAUGCACGAAAGCGUGGGGAGCAAACAGGAUUAGAUACCCUGGUAGUCCACGCCCUAAACGAUGUCUACUAGUUGUCGGGUCUUAAUUGACUUGGUAACGCAGCUAACGCGUGAAGUAGACCGCCUGGGGAGUACGGUCGCAAGNUUAAAACUCAAAGGAAUUGACGG